GAUGUUUAAAAGUGAUAUCCUUUCCUUAAGGACUUUGUUUCAUACAAAGAACAUUUAGUACAACAAUUUGUGAGUGAUAUAAUGUUAAAAAGUGAACAUCUUUUGCACGCGUUCAAAUGGCUGCCGGCGUCGGCUUGGGUCAGUGUGUCAGUGUAUGCGUGAUGCUUCGAUCGAGUGCUUGCUGUACAGCAAUGCGUACAGUGUGUAAGUGAAAGAAUGCUCCUGUUUUAAAUUGAAGGAGCCCCAAAAUCAGAAACAGUAUUGUCUACUAAACGAAAAAGUAAAAUUUUCAUCUUUCAUUGCAUUUUAAAUAAAUCUGAUUUAUCUUUCGUAACAGGAAAGGAUUGUAAACAGUUUACAAACGAUUAGGCAAAUUGAAAGACGCUAUGCGUAGGUGUAUUGAGGCGGUGCGUUUCCCGCCAUAAUUACUCUUUUGACAUUUUGACAUCUCAUCUAAUCUAACGGUAUCGUGUUGAUAGUGGUAAAGCGUUAACAAGAUUUGUUCCAUUUUGCGUACAUUUUGGCGUUCUUAUUCCGACGUUAAAGUUAGAAUUUUGUGUUUGAGUAAGAACAUUAACAAUCAGUGCGUGUACUAAGCUUGCAAUUUAUUUGCAUUUGUGUUGUGAAGUGUAUUUUGCCUACGAGUUUUUUCAUAAAAUCAUGGCGUAAAAAAGUGAUGUCGAUUUUUCAAUCAGGCUUAUUGCUUAUUAUGGCUUAUUGCGUGAAUUAGUGAAGAAUGUGUUGAAAAAAUGUAUUAGUGGCCAUUUUAUGUGAGUAUGUUGUUUUAAAUGCGCCCAAGUGCAUUGAAGUUUGCUUGCUGAAAAAGAAAAUAGUAGUGUGUAUAAGCAAAGUGGCCACGAAAAAGCAGUUUUGUCUGCCGAAGUAAAUGCGUUCCUGAAGUUUAUGAAAAUAAUGUGUCCUGUGCACAAACUAUCGUUUAUCAGGAAAAACGUGUUGAUUGGGUGAAACGUUAACAGAGUUCCGUCCAUCCACAAGCCGAUUUGUGGAAAAUUUGGACCGACGGAAAUUUAGAUGAAAGGUAAGUGCAAUAACUAUUGUUAUACUUCUUAAACAUGGACUCGCGUCUCUAUAUUUUUGCUCUAUCAAUGGACAAAACACAUCCCCAUUUAAUGGAUAGUUUUUAAAGAAACUCGUAUAUUCAAAUUUAAUUUUACUCAACUCUUGCCUAGCUCGGAACCAAAUUCAGUAUGAUGAAUUAAACAUAAAUUCUACGUUCCUAUUCAACGGUCGAGUAAGCAUUCCAUUUCGUCAUACAUUCUACUUUGAACUAAUAAAUUGUAAGGAGUGCCACUCCAACUUCCUCACGUGGUCAACGAUAAAACGCAUCACCGGUUAGGUCUCUCGCUUUUUGCUGCUCCCAGUAAAACCGAAGAAAAUGGUUGAACAAUAAACUAAUUUCCAUAAUAAAAUCAAUAAAUUCAACAAACCCACACUGUAUUUCUGGCCGGUCGCGUCUUUUCCACUAUCCACCGGUGAAGCACCGAGCCAUUGGGCGAAGGUGGAAUGGAAAAUUUGUCAAGCCACGUUUGUAAAUAAACGACCCAUGGGACUCAUAAACUAAGGUUUGAAUUAUAUCACAUUGAUCUUUUGAAAUGGGCACCAUGGUAACGUACAUUUGGAGUUUUCCAGUUUUUUUAUAGAACAAAUGUCCAUAGCACCAGUGUACGUGCUACCUGUGCUGAGAGCCCUUUUUUUUUGAAGAGGCACCAAAUCCAUUCCAAACCAUUCAAAACCACCUGUUUUCCGUUUGCGAUCAAUAGUUUUUGUCACUGUUGUCGUCAAUCCGUCGGAGUUGUUGGGUUUUUGUUGUGUCAGUUUUUGGACUCUGGUUUAGAUGAUUUUCCCAGCACCUAGUCCGAAUAUACCGAAAUGAAAUAAAUUACUUUCUCGUUUGUUUCCCACUGGAAACCCGAAUCGAUGUCGCGGGAACGGUUAUGCUCACCUGGAAACACUGGUGUGGCAUGAGGGACGAACAAACGGAGACAAACGGGUAAUGGAAUGGGUUGUGUGUUGUGUGAUUCCGGAACACGGUCACGUUGGCGCAACGGUCGUGAACGAAGCCUAUCGGGUCCUCCGUUCCUUCUGGUCCUUCCGUGCUGUGAACUUUCGUACUUUACCUUUUUUCUGUUGCUGCUGUCGUUUUCUAACCAUCCAGCAGUUAGUGUGAAAAGAAUAAAAAUACCUCACCAUAGGACAAUCAACCUCCUCUUCGCUGAGGACCUCCACAAGUUGGGAAUCGAUUUACGUCCUGCAUAAAAAAUCAUUUUCUCUCUAUUAAAGCGCGCACGAAGAAAUAGUGUGGUAGAAUUUUAAACAACAAGCAAAAGUUUGUUUUAUUCCUUCUGUUACUAAGAAGAAUAGCGUUGGAAGAUUGACAAAAGGCGGACAGAAAUGAUGUUUUCAUAAAGGAGGCAUCAUUGUGUUCAAAGCUUCUUUUGUUGACAAAUUGUCCCUUCGAUGACUAUCGAAUAUGAUUGUACGAUGUGGGACGGUCAGCUUUGACAGAUGCAUGGCCCAAAGUAUUGAGCUUUAGGUUUUUGUUUUUUCAAAACAUUCCAGAAUUCCUACUGGAAGGACGUAAACAAUUGACCAAUACAAUGCAGCACCAUUAUAAAAACUGGACAGCUGACGCAAUACCUAGUAACGAGUUUAUGCGAUGACUUUAAUUUAAAAGAAUGAAUCUAAAAAAAACUAGACAUCUCGAACGGGGCGCAAGUUAACUUUAAUCGACCGGACAUUAAUGUUGCAGAAUCUGUCACAUGUAGGAGCAUUCAAUAAAUCACCAGUCAACUAUUAGCGGACACACGGUCGGCAAAACCCGAACAGGAUGAAGGUGGGAUCGUUUUCCCCAUGAACCCAAAAUAGUCGUAUGUUUCAUGCUAAAUUGAAUCAUAAAUCAACGCAACAACCCACAAUGGUUUACGCGGUUUUUUUUUUUGUGUUUCGUUGUGCUGUUCUACGGAUUCCUCAGUUGACCAUUUUGUGGAGCGCGCUUUUUGUGCGUUUCUGCUCAAUACUCGGCGUACGAUCGUACGAACACGGUUACGCGGUAAAGUGUUUCCACGCCAAACGCGCGCUUGGGUGCAGAUUUGAUCGUAAUCAUCGGUCCCGCACCAAACUUCUGACCGUAGCACGGGAAAAAGUGUCAUUCGAGAUGGCUUCCAAAUGUUUUACGCGCCCGUAACGUGAAGGUGCAAUCAGGGAUCACGAUCCUGUUGCUUAAGCCGAUAUGAAUACCAACGUGAAGGCGGAGAAAAAAGAGCUGAAAUUGAUUUAUAAGACACGAUAACCAUCACCUUCUAGAGUCGCGUUCUCAGUUACCUGAUCCAAUCGUUCUUUCGAGAUCCACCACCCGUGCGCACGACCGAUUGGAGGAUCUGGAAUAAAUCUAGCACAUACGGCUGGGAAUCGUAUUAUUUUCCGUUUUUUCGUAGAAUUUCACAUACAUCAUUUAUCAAUUUACCGAUCACAAAAAUCGAAGCAAUUUUCGAAAGAGAAAGGCAUGUAAUUUCGAUUCCUUUUUCCAAGAGUAAGCGCAUAGAAAUGUUGAUGCAGUCGAACGUAUUUCGUGGUGAAACACUUGGGGCUUUUGCUGUUAAAAGAAGUUCACAAUUUAGUCUAAGUAUAUCUGUAAGCUUUUCUGUGGUUUGCUGGGAAUGAUAAUGCUAGCUAAUGAUGCCGCGCUCUGAGGUAGACAUCACAGCGAAGAAACCGCUCGGCAGAUAGUAUAAAUUGAUUUAUAUAAUUCGAGCCGAAUCGCUCCGGUGGUCGUUUCGCUGUAUGACUUAUUAGGACCAUCAACCGGUUCCGAUCACUCCCCUUCGCCUUGUUAAUGAGGCUACAAACGUUCCAAAGCCGGCAUAUCCUCUCGCGCACAGGGUGAUAAAUCUAAUACCACUGAAGGUGAAGCGCGGUUAGUGAUUUAUACGUGUCUGAUGAUUAAAAUAUUUGGCGGAAAUACAUCAAAUGCUUCAGUUCAGCCUUUUGGCAGUGACUCAUCGAUUGGUCGGGUACGCAGGUUUGCGUACAAUAAUUCACAAACGCUCUAUCUGCAUUUGCUAAUGAUUGCUCUAGAAGUAAUUGGGAACAAUUACAAUUAUACAUCAUCAUCGCACAAGCCAUCGGUGUUUAAGUUGUUGCAUUUAUCUUCCAACAAUGAGCAAUCAUUUACAGGUGGAAGUAUAAAGUUUUAGUUCCCAACGCUGGGUUUUGUUUUCCUCCGUUGUUGAAUAAAGCAAUUGGGAAAGAUUUAAUUUAAUUCUUCUGUGCAUAAGGCGUGUUGCACAGCCUGUUACAUUCACCUGAAGGGGUGCAUCCUGCAAGUAGAGGCUUUGUGUGUGAUUCAUCCCCUUUCAACUCUUCUUCCCACAUCGACAGCUACUCGCGAAGCUGCCGUUGUGCCAUUGCGUGCGCGGGGUCGUAGAAAGCCGUCCCGAAAACCCUAUAAUUUCAGUUGACAGUUUAAGGAACAAGCGGCACAUCAAAAGUAAUCGUUCAAGCGGUACUGUAUUUCCUGCCAUGCACGUCAUCUGUUCGCCGGCAGCAUCCAACCCUCUCGCUGAAUAGUGGGAACAAUUAUUGUGAUUAUUUUUAGAUCGUUCCGAGCGAAUUGUCGAACGGUUUCGAUGAUCCUUGAUCCCUUUUUUUUGGAACAGCCUAUUUCAAUAGACUGUCAAAGCAAAACUUGGGCGCGUUUGUCUGUUACGCAAUGCCCAACCGACAUAAGUGCGAGGAGAUCGUUUGUGCUGAUAGGUGUCGAUCCCUUCGGCGAUUCUAUUGCUUUUAUUUAAAGAACAACGGUGUUGCAUGCAUGUUUUCAACAAUACUGCAGGUCGAUGAUUUUUAAUUGUACAAAUUUCAAACCUUUUUUCUCCUUUUAUCUGGUUUGUGUGAUGCACAAACCGUGCGCUGUAUAUGCUGGUCAAUAAAUGGGAUGUACCUCAAAUCAACCAAAGAAUACCAUGUGGUAAUCACAAUUGUACAAAACCUUGCAAUCAAUCUGUACGGGUGUGUUAAUAGCACCCAAAACUUGAAUUUGUCCUGAGUUCGUCGUAAUUGACCGAUUGCUCCGAGGGCAAAUAACUCUCUCUCUCUAAAAGAAGAUAUCAUACGGAGGCUUCACUUCAUUGUAUCAUCAUUAGAAAUCGAUGCCCACUUUGGCAACAAUGCGCAUGCGUGUGGUGAUUUAUGACCUCUAGGAAUUUUUGGCCACCAUCCAUCGACAUGCUACCCUGCUGGCUGUGCCCUAUUCCGUCCGUCCGUUUGUGUCGCCAUGUCGCACAGUGGGAGACAAUUCGCAGUACUGCCGGAUUUCAAGUCGUUUCUCCGACAAGGGGUGCGAAGAAGCUGUUCAAACCCCUCCAAAUGACUGCCUUUGUAUGUGGCUUUUGUUUGCCAAUACAUGUGCCUGUGACUGUUCAAACGAUUGCAGGUAAUUCCAUUUAGUAACGUCGCUGAACAGCUUUGGACCAAGAAAAAAAAAUAAAUUGUUAAGCAUGAUUCGUAUCAUCCAUCCAACACCGAUCCCUUUCAGAAGCUGUGUUGUUGUGUAAUUUUUCAUGCGGAAAAAGGGACAAUUAUUUCGGUGACAUUUUACUUCAACCUCAAGCAGAUCCCAAGCGCCUGUUCGUCGAAAAAUCGUUUGGAAGAAAAUCGUUUCUCCCAUCCUUCAGGCGACUGGAGCGGCAUUCCACGAACGGGUUUUUUUUGUCGCUCUUCAUUUCAGUCCUUCCUUAUGGUUAAUCCAAUUUUGGUCUUCUUCAAUCUUAGAUAACGCUUUUGUCAAAGGAAAUGAAAGCUGUUCAUGUUCAGGCUACCCCUCGCAGUGGAACAUAUUUCUAUCGAAACUAGAAAUAAAAAUGUCAGAAAAUGAGUGAAUUCAAUUCUUUCAAACUAAACGUAAGGAUAUCGUUUUUUUUUAUUCGUUUUAACUCUUUAUAUUUGGGAAAACCGAAAUAGGUUUAAGAUGGGAAAGAAUUCCAGUUCAAAAGUAAAACCUUCUAACGUUCAGACAAAACAAGAUUC